rnacentral:lncRNA from 1 species
UUUUUUUCCCUCUUAUCAUAUGUAUUCAAUUACAUGGAUAUCAAAUGACAUAUAUAUUAGAAAAACAAUUGACAUGAAUUAUAACUUUUGUUCAUGUCAUAAGCAGCUGAAGAAUUACAUAAAUUUAAACAGUUUUACAAAAAUAUUAGAACCCGUUUUCAAUACUUCCAACCUCGUAUAUAUCUUCCAGAUGGAUUAUUAUAACUUAUUUUAAACCAUAUCCCACUCAUUCUGGCAGUCCAUACACGUACUUGACCACAUUGAGGAGCCUCUGUAUUUUGACUGUAUGCUUCUACGUAAUUACGAUACCUCAUGUUAAGCCCUUGCUUAAAGAGACAAUGCCAUUUUGUUAUAUUUUUUCCCUCGUCCUGAAGAUGAAUGGUUUUAAUAGCAUGGAAGUUUAGGUGUUGGACUCCUAAGUCUUUUUUUGUGUAGCGACAAUGAUAUUGGAGAAUUCUACCAGGACCGAGAUCGUUUAUGAUUACUAUUGCAUUUUUCUCGCAAGCUUCAGUUUUCGUAGAACAAAUAGCAGUAACUAAUAUAAAAAAUAUUAAACGUAACAUUUCUCGGAUCUAAAUUAAUUAUUGGAGAAACAAGGGCAUUAACAAGUAGUAUUUAUAAUUUUUUUUCUCUGUGUGUGUAAGAAGCUUUUUCUUUAUAUAAUAUUAACUAAGUUUAGACAAAAACAUGAACAAAUUAAGCCUUUGGUUAGAAGAGAUUUUAGGGUCGAAAUGUAUGCUUAACCAUGAAGAAUAAAUCAAAUGAACUAACCUUAGACAUUAAAAUUGACCACAAAACCCAAACUUAACCAUAUUAUAAGUUUAAGAAGUUUAUCUAGUUUGACUAAAAACUUUGAAAAAAUAACUAGAUUGAUUGUCAAUCGAAAUAGAUAACUAGAGUAAACUAAAUUUUCUGUUAAAACACUAAUUAACCUUCAAUCAAACUUAUUAUAACCAUUAUGCCAUACCUAUAAAAAAUUAUAUACAAAUUUGAUUCUUUAAUUAAAUAAAUAAAAAACACAAAAUUAAGAAACAAAAACCAAAAAACAUAAUAAGUCUCGAUUUAGGUUUUUCGUUUCUUAAGUUUUUUUCUCUCUCACAUAUUUUCCAAUUCAUGUUUUAUCUUUUUCGAUCUUUCUACUAAACCCUAGCCAUCUCUCUUUGAAUCUAAUGCUCCCACAAAAGAUGGCGACCAUUUAGACUAGAUUUAUUUAACUGCGAAAUACUUACAUCUAUGUGUGUAUCAACUUCAAGUCGCAUUUAAGGUUCCAUGAUCUUCUCUCCUUAUCAUGUAUACGUAUAUGGGUAUUUUCUCAUAUCCAUUCUCUGGACUUCCCCUUACCAAUUCUCUCUCUGGAUUACUAAAACCUUUGUGGAACAUACCAAGUAUAUCAUCAGUUGCUUGUCGAACACCUGCAUAAAGGUCUGUCAUUGAACAUGUAUGUUCCAAGACAAACACACACACAUGGAAUUUUGGAGAGUCGCUUAAUGGUGUAGCUCAUAUCCUCCACAUUCACUUUUUAACACAAGACUUGAAAAACAAUAUAAAUGGUGACGAUUUAUGAACAUAAAAUCAAAAUUUUAUACCAUAAUUGUUGUCUUCAAUCGUGUCUCCAAAUGAUAUUUUGUUUCAUAACAUUGCAACCAACCAAAUCCAAAGAAGACAUUUCUAACUUUGAAUAAUGAUCAUCUUCUUUUUCUUCAAUAAAAAUACCUAAACUUAUCUUCUUCAUUGGUAAAUUAGGUUUUUCUUCUUCUUGUGGUGGAAACCCGUACAAGCUAAAAUUCCCGUCAUCAGAAUCUGUUCCAUCAGAAUCGUCACAAUAAUCAAAGGUAGAUUCUCAUCAUCAUUGUCUUCAUCAGUCCUGGUCUUCAUCUUCAACGGCUUCAACUUCCUGAAACAACUCAGUAUCUUCCUUCAUCAAAUUAUUUUUGUUACCUUUGUAUCUUGAUGUCAAUGACACCAUCCUUGUCAUUUUUAUAAGAUUCAAUGCAACUUUCUUCUUCACUUCAACACAAGUCAAAUUGUAUCGUUCUUCAAUUACCCCAAAAAAGUGUGAAAGUGUCUUGAAUUACAUAUAAUAAUGGGUGGUGUAUCACGCGGUCUUCGAAAUCUUGUAGCUAAACACAAUAUUACAUACUCUGUUCUCCAGCCUGUAACCCUCUAAUAGCAUUUGUUAAGUGAUAUAUUUACACAAUUUAUAGUUUUUUUUCGUUACCAGAUAUGUUACACUCCUAUUUCCCUUUGUCCUUACCAGAUAUGUUAUACUCUUAUUUCCCUUUAACCAUACAUCUAACCAGUGUCCCUAAGGCAAGAUAAUCACUAAUAGCCCACAACAAUAUAGUUCUAAGUGUGCAAUUCUCCUUCAUAUAAGAAUCAUAAACCUCUAUACAUUCUUUCCACAGACCAUUUAGAUCAUCUAUAAUAGGUGCAAGAUACACAUCUAUGUUGUUGUGUGGUGCAGUUGGUCUAGGGAAGAGCAUAGUCAUCAUGAUGUUCCCAGCCUUCAUACACAUAGUCGGCAACAUGUUGUAGUUGACUAACAACAUCGAUCAUGUACAAUACUUUUUUCUGCAUAGAGAACGAGUUCAUCCUAUCUGUAGAAAAGUCGAGUCGAAGGUUCCUUGGUUUAGUAGAAUACUUUGAAAACUUAUCUUUUAUUUGAGACCAAGUCAAUGAAUCAACUGAGUGUCGUAUUGGACCGUCUACACUAGCAUUGUUGAAAUGCCAACACAACUCCUAAGCAAUCCUUUUUAAUCUAAAUAUCCUCCUAAAUCUAUCCUUAGAUCGAAAAAUACCUCUGAACCUUUGCGGGAACCCCUUCUUUUCCUCUCUAGUAUGCUUAUCUUACUUCCAUCUCGAAGCACUAUAUCUUGGGAAGCUAACAAACUCCUCAAACAUCUUUCGAUAAAGGAUGCAAUCAUGUGUAAAUCAAAUCAUAACUAAAACCAAAAAGCUUCAAGAGCUUCUACAUCUCAUGAACAGAUUUUGGAAGAACAUUAUCCGCAUGUAACAUGUCGUGAACCAAUUUCAUGAACUGAUCAAAUUAGUUCUUGGAUAUACCACUUUUAACUUUUAUGUAGUAGAGAGCCAUGAUUGUAGACACUUUAGUAUAGUUGGGACACGUCGAGUAGAGUAGAGUUCAACAUCCAUCAACUUCUACCUAAACUCAGAUUCUUCUUUACUUUCAUCAUCAUCACCCUGAUCUCCACUUUCAGUCUAAAAAAGUGGCGUUUGAUGAGAAAAAGGAAAAGUGUUAAAAAAGAUUUUUUUUCCCUCUUAUCAUAUGUAUUCAAUUACAUGGAUAUCAAAUGACAUAUAUAUUAGGAAAACAAUUGACAUGAAUUAUAACUUUUGUUCAUGUCAUAAGCAGCUGAAGAAUUAUAUAAAUUUAAACAGUUUUACAAAAAUAUUAGAACGCGUUUUCAAUACUUCCAACCUCGUAUAUAUCUUCCAGAUGGAUUAUUAUAACUUAUUUUAAACCAUAUCCCACUCAUUCUGGCAGUCCAUACACGUACUUGACCACAUUGAGGAGCCUCUGUAUUUUGACUGUAUGCUUCUACGUAAUUACGAUACCUCAUGUUAAGCCCUUGCUUAAAGAGACAAUGCCAUUUUGUUAUAUUUUUUCCCUCGUCCUGAAGAUGAAUGGUUUUAAUAGCAUGGAAGUUUAGGUGUUGGACUCCUAAGUCUUUUUUUGUGUAGCGACAAUGAUAUUGGAGAAUUCUACCAGGACCGAGAUCGUUUAUGAUUACUAUUGUAUUUUUCUCGCAAGCUUCAGUUUUCGUAGAACAAAUAGCAGUAACUAAUAUGAAAAAUAUUAAACGUAACAUUUCUCGGAUCUAAAUUAAUUAUUGGAGAAACAAGGGCAUUAACAAGUAGUAUUUAUAAUUUUUUUUUCUCUGUGUGUGUAAGAAGAUUUUUCUUUAUAUAAUAUUAACUAAGUUUAGACAAAAACAUGAACAAAUUAAGCCUUUGGUUAGAAGAGAUUUUAGGGUCGAAAUGUAUGCUUAACCAUGAAGAAUAAAUCAAAUGAACUAACCUUAGACAUUAAAAUUGACCACAAAACCCAAACUUAACCAUAUUAUAAGUUUAAAAAGUUUAUCUAGUUUGACUGAAAACUUUGAAAAAAUAACUAGAAUGAUUGUCAAUCGAAAUAGAUAACUAGAGUAAACUAAAUUUUCUGUUAAAACACUAAUUAACCUUCCAUCAAACUUAUUAUAACCAUUAUGCCAUACCUAUAAAAAAUUAUAUACAAAUUUGAUUCUUUAAUUAAAUAAAUAAAAAACACAAAAUUAAGAAACAAAAACCAAAAAACAUAAUAAGUCUCGAUUUAGGUUUUUCGUUUCUUAAGUUUUUUUCUCUCUCACAUAUUUUCCAAUUCAUGUCCUAUCUUUUUCGAUCUUUCUACUAAACCCUAGCCAUCUCUCUUUGAAUCUAAUGCUCCUACAAAAGAUGGCGACGAUUCAAACUAGAUUUAUUUAACUGCGAAAUACUUACAUCUAUGUGUUUAUCAACUUCAAGUCGCAUUUAAGGUUCCAUGAUCUUCUCUCCUUAUCAUGUAUACGUAUAUGGGUAUUUUCUCAUAUCCAUUCUCUGGACUUCCCCUUACCAAUUCUCUCUCUGGAUUACUAAAACCUUUGUGGAACAUACCAAGUAUAUCAUCAGUUGCUUGUCGAACACGUGCAUAAAGGUCUGUCAUUGAAAAUGUAUGUUCCAAGACAAACACACACACAUGGAAUUUUGGAGAGUCGCUUAAUGGUGUAGCUCAUAUCCUCCACAUUCACUUUUUAACACAAGACUUGAAAAACAAUAUAAAUGGUGACGAUUUAUGAACAUAAAAUCAAAAUUUUAUACCAUAAUUGUUGUCUUCAAUCGUGUCUCCAAAUGAUAUUUUGUUUCAUAACAUUUCAACCAACCAAAUCCAAAGAAGACAUUUCUAACUUUGAAUAAUGAUCAUCUUCUUUUUCUUCAAUAAAAAUACCUAAACUCAUCUUCUUCAUUGGUAAAUUAAGUUUUUCUUCUUCUUGUGGUGGAAACCCGUACAAGCUAAAAUUCCCGUCAUCAGAAUCUGUUCCAUCAGAAUCGUCACAAUAAUCAAAGGUAGAUUCUCAUCAUCAUUGUCUUCAUCUUCAACGGCUUCAACUUCCUGAAACAACUCAGUAUCUUCCUUCAUCAAAUUAUUUUCGUUACCUUUGUAUCUUGAUGUCAAUGACACCAUCCUUGUCAUUUUUAUAAGAUUCAAUGCAACUUUCUUCUUCACUUCAACACAAGUCAAAUUGUAUCGCUCUUCAAUAACACCAAAAAAGUGUGAAAGUGUCUUGAAUUACAUAUAAUAACGGGUGUUGUAUCACGCGGUCUUCGAAAUCUUGUAGCUAAACACAAUAUUACAUACUCUGUUCUCCGGCCUGUAACCCUCUAAUAGCAUUUGUUAAGUGAUAUAUUUACACAAUUUAUAGUUUUUUUUCGUUACCAGAUAUGUUACACUCCUAUUUCCCUUUGUCCUUACCAGAUAUGUUACACUCCUAUUUCCCUUUAACCAUACAUCUAACCAGUGUCCCUAAGGCAAGAUAAUCACUAAUAGCCCACAACAAUAUAGUUCUAAGUGUGCAAUUCUCCUUCAUAUAAGAAUCAUAAACCUUUAUACAUUCUUUCCACAGACCAUUUAGAUCAUCUAUAAUAGGUGCAAGAUACACAUCUAUGUUGUUGUGUGGUGCAGUUGGUCUAGGGAAGAGCAAAGUCAUCAUGAUGUUCCCAGCCUUCAUACACAUAGUCGGAACAUGUUGUAGUUGACUAACAACAUCGAUCAUGUACAAUACUUUUUUCUGCAUAGAGAACGAGUUCAUCCUAUCUGUAGAAAAGUCGAGUCGAAGGUUCCUUGGUUUAGUAGAAUACUUUGAAAACUUAUCUUUUAUUUGAGACCAAGUCAAUGAAUCAACUGGGUGUCUCAUUGGACCGGUUACACUAGCAUUGUUGAAAUGCCAACACAACUCCUAAGCAAUCCUUUUUAAUCUAAAUAUCCUCCUAAAUCUAUCCUUAGAUCGAAAAAUACCUCUGAACCUUUGCGGGAACCCCUUCUUUUUCUCUCUAGUAUGCUUAUCUUACUUCCAUCUCGAAGCACUAUAUCUUGGGCAGCUAACAAACUCCUCAAACAUCUUUCGAUAAAGGAUGCAAUCAUGUGUAAAUCAAAUCAUAACUAAAACCAAAAAGCUUCAAGAGCUUCUUCAUCUCAUGAACAGAUUUUGGAAGAACAUUAUCCGCAUGUAACAUGUCGUGAACCAAUUUCAUGAACUGAUCAAAUUAGUUCUUGGAUAUACCACUUUUAACUUUUAUGUGGUAGAGAGCCAUGAUUGUAGACACUUUAGUAUAGUUGGGACACGUCGAGUAGAGUAGAGUUCAACAUCCAUCAACUUCUACCUAAACUCAGAUUCUUCUUUACUUUCAUCAUCAUCACCCUGAUCUCCACUUUCAGUCUAAAAAAGUGGCGUUUGAUGAGAAAAAGGAAAAGUGUUAAAAAAGAUUUUUUUUCCCUCUUAUCAUAUGUAUUCAAUUACAUGGAUAUCAAAUGACAUAUAUAUUAGGAAAACAAUUGACAUGAAUUAUAACUUUUGUUCAUGUCAUAAGCAGCUGAAGAAUUAUAUAAAUUUAAACAGUUUUACAAAAAUAUUAGAACGCGUUUUCAAUACUUCCAACCUCGUAUAUAUCUUCCAGAUGGAUUAUUAUAACUUAUUUUAAACCAUAUCCCACUCAUUCUGGCAGUCCAUACACGUACUUGACCACAUUGAGGAGCCUCUGUAUUUUGACUGUAUGCUUCUACGUAAUUACGAUACCUCAUGUUAAGCCCUUGCUUAAAGAGACAAUGCCAUUUUGUUAUAUUUUUUCCCUCGUCCUGAAGAUGAAUGGUUUUAAUAGCAUGGAAGUUUAGGUGUUGGACUCCUAAGUCUUUUUUUGUGUAGCGACAAUGAUAUUGGAGAAUUCUACCAGGACCGAGAUCGUUUAUGAUUACUAUUGCAUUUUUCUCGCAAGCUUCAGUUUUCGUAGAACAAAUAGCAGUAGCUAAUAUGAAAAAUAUUAAACGUAACAUUUCUCGGGUCUAAAUUAAUUAUUGGAGAAACAAGGGCAUUAACAAGUAGUAUU